AGUGAACGCUGGCGGUAGGCCUAACACAUGCAAGUCGAACGGCAGCACAGUAAGAGCUUGCUCUUACGGGUGGCGAGUGGCGGACGGGUGAGGAAUACAUCGGAAUCUACUUUUUCGUGGGGGAUAACGUAGGGAAACUUACGCUAAUACCGCAUACGACCUACGGGUGAAAGCAGGGGAUCUUCGGACCUUGCGCGAUUGAAUGAGCCGAUGUCGGAUUAGCUAGUUGGCGAGGUAAAGGCCUACCAAGGCGACGAUCCGUAGCUGACCUGAGAGGAUGAUCGGCCACACUGGAACUGAGACACGGUCCAGACUCCUACGGGAGGCAGCAGUAGGGAAUCUUGCGCAAUGGGCGAAAGCCUGACGGAGCAACGCCGCGUGAGUGAUGAAGGUCUUCGGAUCGUAAAGCUCUGUUAUUAGGAAAGAACAAAUGUGUAAGUAACUAUGCACGUCUUGACGGUACCUAAUCAGAAAGCCACGGCUAACUUCGUG
rnacentral:rRNA from 1 species